UACGUAGGGUGCAAGCGUUGUCCGGAAUUAUUGGGCGUAAAGAGCUCGUAGGCGGCUUGUCGCGUCGACUGUGAAAACCUGGGGCUUAACUCCGGGCCUGCAGUCGAUACGGGCAAGCUAGAGUUCGGUAGGGGAGACUGGAAUUCCUGGUGUAGCGGUGAAAUGCGCAGAUAUCAGGAGGAACACCGAUGGCGAAGGCAGGUCUCUGGGCCACUACUGACGCUGAGAAGCGAAAGCAUGGGGAGCGAACAGG
rnacentral:rRNA from 1 species